AAGGAAGGAGAGGCUGUUUCUACAGGUGUCAGAGAAAAAUCGAUACGGAGCCACGGAUUAUUGAAUCCCGUAGAACCAUGGAGGCUUGGCAGUGAAAUUCUUCCAAAGG
ensembl:misc_RNA